GGGAGGGGCUGGAACGUCUGUCCGCGCAGCCGCCUCGUGGGCAGGUGCUCCUGGGGUGCCGCCCCGGCCCAGCCCUCCGGGGUCAACCCUUGCCAGGCCUGGGACCUGCCUCCUACCAGCGAGGAUCCCGCCGUAGAGAGCGCCCUUCCCGCACAUCAACGGCUCACAGGUGGCGGCCGAGCUGAGGGGUUACAAAACUAACACACCUAAUGGUGAAAUUGGCGAACACCUACAAGCUCCAACGGAAAAGUUCCGGUGGGGGGUGGUGGGGGGGCGGACGCCAGGUUUUCUACCUACAUUAACUGCUUGACUCAAGAAUUAUGAGAGCAGCUAAUUGCUCUUAUUACUUCCUUAGCCUGAAAAGUCCCUCCCUCUUCCCUCCACUGGUUCCCACUCAAUCUCCGGUUCAUCCUUAUAGUCCCAUCGCACACGCUGCCUCCAAAUGGCUUUUCUGACCUCUUGUUCCCUCCACGGCAACCGAGACACAUCCAGUCAAAACUUAGUCCCCUCCCCCGACUCUUUGGGGCUUCCCUUUAACAGUAGUGUUCUGAAAGGAGCCUGAGCUUUAGAACCUCGGUUAGGGACAAUGCCAGACUACACUAACUUUCUAGCGUUAAUGACAAGUUACCUAUCCUCCCUGAGCCUACCUGGAAUUUUUGGAAGGGUUGUUAAUAUAUGUGACUGCCCUGACAUAUUAAAACGUCCUGAAUAAUGUCAGCUUUAUUUCUCCUUGGACUUCCUUUAAGUACCCUGCACCAUAUUUUAAUAAUUUGUGUGCGUCUUAGUUCAGCUCAUACUCCCAGCUCCUUGAUGACAGAGACUCAUCAUAAGUCUUGCUCAUCUUGGCUUUACUAAAAUGACCAGCACAGAGCUCUGCACUCAAUAAACGCUUUUUGGAUUGAA